UAGGGAAUAUUGCAAAAUGGGCGAAAGCCCGAUGCAGCAACGCCGCGUGGGCGAUGAAGGCCUUCGGGUCGUAAAGCCCUUUUGAGGGGAUGAGGAAGGACAGUACCCUCAGAAUAAGCCUCGGCUAACUACGUGCCAGCAGCCGCGGUAAAACGUAGGAGGCGAGCGUUAUCCGGAUUUACUGGGCGUAAAGCGCGUGCAGGCGGAUUGGAGAGUUGGAUGUGAAAGCUCCCGGCUUAACUGGGAGAGGUCGUUCAAUACUUCCAGUCUUGAGUGCAGUAGAGGGAAGUGGAAUUCCGGGUGUAGUGGUGAAAUGCGUAGAUAUCCGGAGGAACACCAGUGGCGAAAGCGGCUUCCUGGACUGUAACUGACGCUCAGACGCGAAAGCUAGGGUAGCAAACG
rnacentral:rRNA from 1 species